CACACUGCUAUCGGGGUGGGACUAAAACAUGCAAGUUGAGCGCCUCCAAGCUAUGGUGGAGGCGCGGCAAACGGCUCAGUAACACGUGGCUAACCUACCCUUGGGACGGAGACACCCCCGGGAAACUGGGGCUAAUCCCCGAUAGGUAAGGGCUCCUGGAAUGGACCCUUGCUGAAAAGACGUUGAGUCCAUGCUAUUCAGCGUCGCCUAAGGAUGGGGCCGCGACCGAUCAGGUUGUUGGUGAGGUAACGGCUCACCAAGCCUAUAACCGGUACGGGCCGUGAGAGCGGAAGCCCGGAGAUGGGAACUGAGACAAGGUCCCAGGCCCUACGGGGCGCAGCAGUUGCGAAAACUCCGCAAUGCGCGAAAGCGUGACGGGGCUACCCCGAGUGCCGCCCGCUGAGGGCGGCUUUUCCAUGGUGUAAGGAGCCGUGGGAAUAAGGAGAGGGCAAGCCUGGUGUCAGCCGCCGCGGUAAUACCAGCUCUCCGAGUGGUGUGGACGAUUAUUGGGCUUAAAGCGUUCGUAGCCGGCUUAACAAGUCUUCCGUUAAAUCCAACGAUUUAAUCGUUGGUCUGCGGGAGAUACUGUUGGGCUAGGAGGCGGGAGAAGCCGACGGUAUUCUCGGGGUAGGGGUGAAA
rnacentral:rRNA from 1 species